UGGGGAAUAUUGGACAAUGGGCGAAAGCCUGAUCCAGCCAUGCCGCAUGUGUGAAGAAGGUCUUCGGAUUGUAAAGCACUUUAAGUUGGGAGGAAGGGCAUUAACCUAAUACGUUAGUGUUUUGACGUUACCGACAGAAUAAGCACCGGCUAACUCUGUGCCAGCAGCCGCGGUAAUACAGAGGGUGCAAGCGUUAAUCGGAAUUACUGGGCGUAAAGCGCGCGUAGGUGGUUUGUUAAGUUGGAUGUGAAAUCCCCGGGCUCAACCUGGGAACUGCAUUCAAAACUGACUGACUAGAGUAUGGUAGAGGGUGGUGGAAUUUCCUGUGUAGCGGUGAAAUGCGUAGAUAUAGGAAGGAACACCAGUGGCGAAGGCGACCACCUGGACUAAUACUGACACUGAGGUGCGAAAGCGUGGGGAGCAAACA
rnacentral:rRNA from 1 species